ACUUUUUAAAGUAUAUUUGCUCCUCAACACUAAACCUAAAACCUUAAAUCCUAAACAUAAAUCUUACACCCUAAACUAAAAAUCCAAAACCCUAAAACCUAAACCCAAAACCUAAAACCCUAAACCCUAAACUCUUACCCCUAAAACCUUAAACCUAAACCCAAGACCAUAGUCCCCAAACUUUAUAACCUAAAUCCUACUUUAGCUUCUGGAAGCCGGUUGCGGUUCUAGUUCUUAUGCUCAACGAUACACAAAGCAUCUAGUCAUAUUUGGCU
rnacentral:sRNA from 1 species